GUCGGACAUGGUGGAAAGUUCUGACGAUGAAGAUGAUGAACUCGGCAGCCCUCCAGGGUCCCAUCAUUCAAGACCAUAUAUACAUCAACUGGAGGAAGGUGAACGCCUCUUUCUUGUUGCCGAGUCUAGCCUGC